GACGAACGCUGGCGGCGUGCCUAAUACAUGCAAGUAGAACGCAGUUGCGAACGGGUGAGUAACGCGUAGGUAACUGCCUCAUAGCGGGGGAUAACUAUUGGAAACGAUAGCUAAUACCGCAGACUGUGAGAUGGACCUGCGUUGUAUUAGCUAGUUGGGGAGGUAAAGGCGCACCAAGGCGACGACACAUAGCCGACCUGAGAGGGUGAUCGGCCACACGGGGACUGAGACACGGCCCAGACUCCGACGGGAGGCAGCAGUGGGGAAUAUUGCACAAGGGGCGCAAGCCUGAUGCAGCCAUGCCGCGUGUAUGAAGAAGGCCUUCGGGUUGUAAAGUACUUUCAGCGGGGAGGCGUUACCCGCAGAAGAAGCACCGGCUAACUCCGUGCCAGCAGCCGCGGUAAUUC
rnacentral:rRNA from 1 species